UCACUGCGCGUGUGCCCAGUUAUUAGGAAAGAGCUGUGAAAGGCACUGGCCUCCAGGCCAUGCCUUGUCCCCACCUGUUCGCUCCUGCCCUGCCCAGGCAAAGGGCACCUCUACAUUCCUAACACUUUCCUUCCUCACUACGAGCCACUCUCUGGGAUUAUUUUGACUUCUGCAUUUGUUUAUUUAACAUCAAGAACACCAUUUGUUAACCACAAUGGGUAAAAACAACAAUAUUUUGCAUUUGCCUUGGGUUUCUUCCGUGAAGGUUUUACAAACAUUUUGAAAUCAAUUCUCACAGUGAGCUGGGCAGGUCAGUGUCUAAGUUAAUGUCUAUGUAUUGCCACAAAUGGCUGAGGAUGAUGUUCAGGAUUUACAACAGUGCAACUCAGAGAAGUCAGUCAAGACCUGGGGAAGGCAGCAGUUGGAUCAGUACUGGAGCUCAGGAUUACCAGAGUCCCCACCUUAAGUCUACUCUUGGCUUUCUGCAAAGUCCGGUUACAAGGAGUUGCUUGACAAGAAGAAGGGGAUGUGCACACCUACCUGUGCACAAAACAUGUAGGAACACAGACGUUGCUGGGAAAUAAAGGCAAAGAGAGAAAGCAAAAGACUGAGGUGGGGGUGAAGCAGCAGAGACAGCCCCAUCCUGGCAUGCUGUGAAUCUAUGCAAGAAAUCUUACAAGACUUUUGCACAAAGAGAGCAGCAUUUUGUGAUAUCUUGAGAACACAUCGUCAGGCAACAGAGGAACACAACAGAGGCAAUUUGGGCCAAGAGAUCUGCAACCUGGACAGUCUGUCCUUUGAAUUGCCAUGGUCCAUCAAAUUCUGCUGCUCCACCUGACUGCUGUGGGAGAAAUUUUGCCAAUGACGCUUUGUAUGUAAAAAAUGGAAUUUCAGCAAUUAUUAUUUUGGAGCGCUUAAAAAUAAGUUUUGAGCAAAAUACUUAGAAAAUAAUGAAACUCCAAUAAUAUAAAACAAA